CAGUUGUUUGGCCUUAAUAUGUUUGCCUUGUCAUGAGUGUUAUAUGUCAGGUCUUUAUAACCAAUCUCGAUUAUUAGGCCUUAUAUGAUUGUUGGGAAAUGAAAUUGUUUGGAAUGGAUAUCUGGAAAGUAAACAAUUUUUUAUACUUUUCUUCCAAAUGAACAGCCUGCUGAUGGUGAUGUGCUGGUGUGCCCCUAGCAGUGAAGGCUUUCCUGUAACAUCUUAUGCUCUUUCUGGCCUCCUACUGUGUUAUGGUUGUGGUUCAUGUGUGUCGUACUCUACUUUAUUAUCUUGGUACUUGCCCACAGAGGAUACAGACAUGGACACUGACUGACUGGCCACGCCUCAAACUCCGUUAUUCAGCCUCUCCAUGUGCAAACUUUUCCUGACCCACUAAAUUGGACUCAACACAACCGACAGAUGUGAUGAACUGAAAGCUGUUUGGCUCAUUUGAACCUGGGUGGAGUCACCUUUCAAUAACAUAUCAGUAUGGCUUCUUCUGUUUUCUUGUUUGAAAUGACAUUACCCAUGUUACUAUUUUGGACAAGCGCCUUGUCAAAAAAGAAAAACAAACACACCCAGUAAUGUUUUAGUGGCUUUACUGACACAAUCUUGGUCAAAAUCCAAAACCGUUGAACAACAAUAAAAAGACAAUAUAUAUCAGUAGAAAGUUUGUUUCUUUGUUUUUGGAACACACAAUAGUUAUUUAAAACCAUUAAAUAUGUACCUUAGCUGGAAGCCACAGGAGGAAUUUGGUCUCAACAUGUAUUUCAAAAUAUAGCAGCCCCUAUAGACCACUAAAGGGCAAAAGCUUUACAAAGGUUUUACAAAGCAUUUCUUGCAUGACAUUGAUAAUGCACCCCAGGAUUCAUCAUGGCCAACUUUACAUUAAACAGUAUCCAAA